AGUUGAAGCGGCACCAGCUCAAAUUUGAAAUCUGGCUCUUUCAGAGUCCGAGUUGUAAUUUGAAGAAGGUAUCUUUGGGUCUGGCUCUUGUCUAUGUUUCUUGGAACAGAACGUCACAGAGGGUGAGAAUCCCGUGCGAUGAGAUGAUCCAGGCCUAUGUAAAGUUCCUUCGAAGAGUCGAGUUGUUUGGGAAUGCAGCUCUAAGUGGGUGGUAAAUUCCAUCUAAAGCUAAAUAUUGGCGAGAGACCGAUAGCGAACAAGUACAGUGAUGGAAAGAUGAAAAGAACUUUGAAAAGAGAGUGAAAAAGUACGUGAAAUUGUUGAAAGGGAAGGGCUUGAGAUCAGACUUGGUAUUUUGUAUGUUACUUCUUCGGGGGUGGCCUCUACAGUUUAUCGGGCCAGCAUCAGUUUGGGCGGUAGGAGAAUUGCGUUGGAAUGUGGCACGGCUUCGGUUGUGUGUUAUAGCCUUCGUCGAUACUGCCAGCCUAGACUGAGGACUGCGGUUUAUACCUAGGAUGUUGGCAUAAUGAUCUUAAGUCGCCCGUCUUGAAAACACGGGACCA
rnacentral:rRNA from 1 species